GAGAAGGGAAGAGAAGGCGAUAAGAACACGAAAGAAUUUCAGCUGCUGGCUGCUGCUACUGUUCUAGGAGCAUUUGAGCUAUUUUCAGCACCCAAUGGGUUUGUCUGCAGUAAGAGAAACUAGAAAAGUACAGAGGCAGGAAACUCACAACAACUUUGCUCCCUCUUCAGUUUCCACACAUUUGCAAUAUGAAGAAAAAUCCAUUUGCAGACCAUUUAAAGAAGCCGUUGCCUAUUUACGCAAUAAACUGACCUUGAUUGCUUUCAUUUUCCUUGGACCCAGUGGCCAGCCUGGAAAAAAUAUGUAAUUAUUAUGCCUCCUUUAACAGUAUCAACCCAGUUUUUCAGAACCAGGAGCUUUCCCAGCCCUAUACUUUAUUUUGUAUCCAAGGGGUUUGGUUCUGUUUGGUGUCCGUGCCCAGUGACAAACACAGCUUCCUGAGAGAGUAGCCAGAAGUUUAUUUCCAGUUUGCUACUCAGAUUUUGGAAUCGACAACCCUGCUAUUUUGGAAUGUUAGAGACCUAAAACUGCUGACAUUGUAGUGCUUAUCUGACAGUGGAAUCCAGGAGCCAAUCAGGAUUGCAGUUACUCACUGGCUCGCUUGCAUGGGAAAGCAACUGGUGCUCUCUUCGGGUUAGGUUAUCACAGAAAAGAUAUUCAAUGAGCCAUCAAUUUCAUUAGAGCACAUUGUUGAUAACUAAGCCUAUAUAGUCCUUCAAGUACUCAGUGUGCUUAAUAUCUCUGUUUUAAGAGAUCUGACAUAUCUUUUAUCCUUUCACUUUGUGAUUUGUGAACCAGCUAGAAAAAACUUCAGAUAUUGGAUGGUAUAGAAAUAUAGUAAAUACAUACACACACAUAUGUGAUUUCAUUGUAAGAACUUUGUAAAAUACAUAUUAUUAUUAUUCCUAUUUGGUUGAUGGCUCUGAUGGCUAGGAAUAAUGGGAGUUCCAGUGUAACACUUCUAAAGGGCACUGGAUUGGGGAUUGCUUUAGAUGGGCAGAAAAAAUCCAGUGCCAUCUUCAUAUCACUACAGUUAAUUUUAUAGUGCCCUCCACAGGACUUUUAUUUCCACUUGAUUCAACAACUAGCAAUCUAAAGUUAAUGUUUUGCGCCUAAGCUAUGAAGAACACAUGACUGUGAGAUAUAUAUGUAAACACAUUGCUAUAUCUUUAAAUCUUGUGCAUAUUUCCACUUAAUUGGCCAUAAUUCAUUACAGGAUAAAUUCACCCCAUAUCUUCCUAUAUCUUUGCACUGAAUGAACAAGAGUAUCAUUUGGAUAGAGGGAGAAAUGUUCUGCCACUGCCAGUAACACACAGUCAAACAAAGAAAACCUGCACAGUCAAGUUCCAAAAAAAGAAAGGCACUUAAUUAGUUUCUUAAGAUUUCCUAGAUAUUUCAUUCAAGUAUGAAAAACCCUACCUCUCUGAGAAGAAAGAUCCCCAGAGAUUUCUCUUACUGCUGCCCCUACUAAAUAUACCUGACAUUUAAAAUAAUACAUUACUAAUGGAUUAGUCCUACACAAUGGUGCACUGACAAGGCAGGAAAUGUGAUCAGAUGGGUAUGAAGGGUCCUCCCACUGCUAUUAUUUGUGAUCCUACCCAAGCACCAGGGGCAAGAAUCAGAGAGGGUCCAGCACCCACCAUCACUGCUGUGCUGCUGGAUGUUUCUUUAUUUUUACACACCCCGGGGGGAGGGGGGAUGGUCAUUUAACAGUGCAGCAUCCAAGUAGCGCAAAUAGGUUCUGCAACCAGGUACAGCGGUCCUGUUGGUGGGUGGCUCAGCUUUCCAGGUAAGUGGUUUUUGCCCUGUUCUGGACGGGGCUGCAUUCCCCCUACAGGACAGGAUAUGUAGUCUGGGAGUGCUUCUUGACCCAGCAUUAUCCUUGGAGUUCCAGGUGAUCGCUGAGGGGAGGAAAGCUUUCCACCAGCUUCAUUUGGUCCAUCAACAUGGAUGACCAGAGCCUGGCAACAGUGACCCUUUUCUCAAUUGGACUAUUGUAAUGUGCUCUACGUGGGGCUGCCCUUGAAGACAGUCCAGAUACUUCAACCAGUCCAGAACAGAGCAGCCAGGUUUUUGACAGGGACUGGUAGGUAUGCUCACAUCUGCACUGGCUACAAGUUUACGUCCAGGUCCAAUUUAAAGUUUUAAUGAUGACGUAUAAAGCCCUAAAUUGUUUAGGGCUUAGGUGCUAGGGUCUUCUUUAAACACCUGCCUGCCCCUUAAGAUCCGGGUCUGAGGUCCUUCUUUGGGAGCCCUCUCUGAAGAAGAUCCAAAGAGUGGCUACCUAGGGAAGGGUCUUUUCUGUGGUGGAGCCCUGGCUUUGAAAUCUGCUUCCCAGAGAGGUGCGCCAGACUAAAACCUUUUUAUUUUCCCUGCAUUUUAAGAUUUAAUUGUGAUUUUAAUACUGGGUUUUAUUAGGGUUAUACUUCAUUGUGUGCUGCCUCUUUGUUUUGUUCUGUAUCACUGUCCUGAGACUCCUGUAAAGGAUGGGAUAAGAAUGCUUUAAAUAACAACCACCACCACCUUCCUAUUAAUCAGUCUCCUGUUCUGAUGGUGAGAAGAAUGCUACUGCCUACUUGCUCACUUGCUUUCUCUCAGUGUCAGGCAAAUGGUGGCAGUGCUAAGAAAACAGAUGCAAAGGAACAGAAGCUGGUAACAGUGUCAGAGUGAAGGUAGAAUGAAAGAGAAUGAAGAAAGUGGCGCAGGGAGGUGUCCUACCCAAGGAACCACCAGAACCUGGGGCUGGUGCUUCUAGUUACUUUGAAGAAACCAGCCCCUUCCUACCAAAAAUCCUGCAUUUUGUUGCUCCACUUGGCUGUUUCAGGUUUUGUCUGCAACAGAAUAUAAUGAGAUACUGCUACUCACAUUCCAGCCAGACAGAUGCAAGGAAAACCAAAUGUGUGCUGCUUUGCAGAACUAUAGCUAUUUUUUGUCCUCCAAAACAGGGUUCUCAAGCAGACAGACUGGCUAUCCUAUGAUCCCUCCAUUUACCAGCAGCACAAAAUUCAGUAUGGCAAUUUAAUAAUUUUGCUGUAAAGCUUACCAUCACUUUGAAGCAUUUAGUAAGCUUGUUAAGUAGUGUUACUUUACUCUGUAUUAAUCAUUUAUGGCAGCUACCCAGUGAUAAUUCUCUGCCUUGCUUGCUUUCAAGAAACACAUUAAUAGGUUGUAAAUAUUAUUAAAAAUAAUACAGCCAGUCUCUGUCUCUCUAGGCCAUACUCAAUUAACUCUAAAAGCCUAUCAAGCAAAAAAAAUAGAUUUGAAAAAGGAAUUCAGAAACCUCAUAUUGAUAUUUUGGCUACUGUCACAGGUUUAGUGCAUUAUAAUUUUUCAGCAAUAUUAUUGAUACCAUUUGCUAUUUUUGCUACCAGUACUGGCAUUUAUACUGACAUAUGACAAGUGCUUUGGAAAGUAUUACAUCUAUCAUACAUACAUUUGCCUAUCAACUGUUUUUAGCCAUAAUAGCUAAAUGGAAAUAUGGUUUCCACAAGCACACUUUUCUGUGCCAGAUGCCAGGGACAAACAACAGUGCAACACCAUCACCUUCACACACUGCCUGAGAACCCCUCGGAGCAUCUGACUGGCCAUUUGGUUGGGAUCUAGACAUUUGGUUAGAUGCCCUUUCUAUAGAUUCCCAGGUAGCUUUCCUUAGGUUCCCAAAGUACUGGCUUGUAGCCAGUCUUACCCUAACUAAGGUUCCAUUCAUGUCGAUAAUCUACUCUAUGUAGGUCUACAACCCAACAGCAGCAUUUCAGCAUGAGACCAGACAAACAUUUUCCAUAACAUCUCCAUAACCUUCUGGAAUACCUUCACAUAUUUGUGUUCAAUGCCAGUUUUACACUAACAUCAAACCCAUGGACUGGUCAGAGUCCACCUUCCAAGAUGGCUUGCUGCUGAUCCCAGCACCAGCUCUUUACAGUACAUGAACACGUAAAUCUUAUAGCUCCAACUGGAGCAAAGGCGGCUGAGUAAGAUGUUCUUGAAAAGGUGACCAAAGGAAGAAUUCAAGAAGGUAAUUUGGAGAGAUUCAUGUAACCUAUAGGGAACUACCUACCAAAAAAGAGAGGAAAUGAGUCCCUGCGGAUUUUAUUCCACUAGCUGAAACGGCAGUAGGGAGCAUUGCUUAUCUCCAUUUCAAAGGCCAUGAGCCAGCACUUUCCGAAGACAUUCCUGGUCAUGUACGUAGCCAGCUUGACAUCACGGGGCUCUGUUUCCUCCCUACAGGAGUGGUACAUACUGAAAGGACUCUAUAAUUAUUCUUUUUCACAGAGAAAAGCAAAAUACAGAUACCUGCAGAAUUUUUCAUUCUGCAUCGAUCCUUAUAGUUUGGUGGACCUAAUUUAAAAAUGGUUCCACGUGCUGGAAAUUGCUAUCCAAGGCAUUCAUCCCCCCAACACCCCCUUUCCCAGUACUACCCUAGAUAGAAAUACAGACAAAUAUGGUUUAGGUUUCUGGAUGACAAGGCAUUUUUGAUUUUUUCCAGCCCUUUUUUCAUGUAAAACAAAAUGGUAAAGAAUACAAUGGGUGCAACCCAAAAAAUAUUAGGCAAAGUGGUUAAGGGGAGUAUGGGCAUUGAUUGGCCAUAAUGCUCCCUUUAUGUUACUGGGAUCCAGUACACAUGCAGCAGGAAGCCAGAAGUUCUUAAAGCCAGAAAUGAGCCAAAACAUUAAGUCUCAGGAUAGGUCAGCUCAGCAAGCUCACAAAAGGAAGCAAUGCUGACCUGUUUUGUUCUGAAGCAAGCAUUUUGACUUGUUUACAUGGUUGCUUUAGGAAGUACGAGUGGUCAGUUGCGUAGGCAGAAUAGAAUGAGCAGCAAUGCAAGGGCAGCAUUAGAGACAGCCUGUUUAUCUUAACUGUAAGGGCAUUGUAAAUUACGGCCAGCAGGGUUCAAGUAUUCCAAGAUUUCCUUGGACUGAAUCCACAGUUUCUGUAACAAGAUAGGCAUACCUCCAUAUAAUAAUGGAUAGAAAUAUUUAGCAGGAAACAGGAUACAAAGCCAGAUUCUUUACAAAUGCAGAGCCACCUAAAAGUAAUUUCCCAGAGUAGUGGGAAACUACUGUGGAGCACUGAAUUUUGGUUCGAUUGCUGUGUGUGCACACACACGGCUGCUGCACUGAUGGCACUAUGACAAGAAUUCUUAUGCAUGGUCUCACAUACUGUAGUCAUGGGUGACAACAA